rnacentral:rRNA from 1 species
AUAUUGGACAAUGGGCGCAAGCCUGAUCCAGCCACGCCGCGUGGGUGAUGAAGGCCUUCGGGUCGUAAAGCCCUGUCGAGGGGGAAGAAUCGGUUGCGACCUAACACGUCGUGAUCCUGACGGUACCCCUAAAGGAAGCACCGGCUAACUACGUGCCAGCAGCCGCGGUAAUACGUAGGUGGCAAGCGUUGUCCGGAUUUAUUGGGUUUAAAGGGUGCGUAGGCGGUCUUGUAAGUCAGUGCUGAAAUAUCCCGGCUUAACCGGGAGGGUGGCAUUGAUACUGCAGGACUUGAGUGAAGUCGAGGUAGGCGGAAUUGACGGUGUAGCGGUGAAAUGCUUAGAUAUCGUCAAGAACACCAAUAGUGUAGACAGCUUACUAGGCUUUAACUGACGCUGAGGCACGAAAGUGUGGGGAUCAAAC